CGAUAUCUUAACUCUAGCUAAUUAGAAUAAGAUGAGCGUCGUCUGCUGCUUUCGUUUUGUUUCACAGUUUUAAAAAAGAAGGUUAAGAAACGAGUUAAAUAAGUAAAUAAGUGAAGUUUAUUAAAGAUAUUGAAAACGGAACGAUAACUUUUAUGAAAACGUACGUGGCUGCACGAGAAAUAGCACAACUCUUACAGUUUCAAAAACGUGGUGGCCGUGUAAACUCUGGUGUCGUGGCUCUCCAUACUCUCCAAAUUUCCAUGCUGUUUGGCGGGUUUGGCCUGAACCAGUCAUUAUUACAACACGACAUGCAGGUUUUGCUUGUGCUGGUAUUGACUUGCCAUCAGCAACAAUCUCAAUCAUCACUUGGAUAAACAUCAUCCAGUUUGAUUGAUUGUACCAGGAGAAACUACCGAUGUCGAUCGAGACACGCAUAUCGUCUUCCCAUUUCAUCAAAUGUCCUCGUGUACACCCAUGUGAGUGUGGGAGUAUUCACGAGGACUUUUUCCUAUCCUGCCAGGUGUAUUCAACUUUUCUGCAGGAUGGAUGGAGCACUUAUGGAUGCCUGGCUGUACAUCCCAGGCAUAAACGUAGGAAAAAUUGAUCUAUAUUCUUCCUUUUGGACUAUUUGGUGUGGGGUGAGUGUAAAUCGGGACGUAAUACGCAGUACGAUUAUUCUAGAGCUUUGACGUUGACUGGGAAUGUUUUCUCUUGCCAUUUUUGUUGACUCACUUAGGGCUGAUUAAAUAACUCCUUUGUAGAACGACUUCA